rnacentral:rRNA from 1 species
ACGGAAGGCAGCAGUGAGGAAUAUUGGUCAAUGGACGCAAGUCUGAACCAGCCAUGCCGCGUGCAGGAAUAAGGCCCUAUGGGUCGUAAACUGCUUUUGUGGUGGAGCAAUAAGUCGUACGUGUACGGCGAUGAGAGUACAUCACGAAUAAGCAUCGGCUAACUCCGUGCCAGCAGCCGCGGUAAUACGGAGGAUGCAAGCGUUAUCCGGAUUUAUUGGGUUUAAAGGGUGCGUAGGCUGUGGUCCAAGUCAGGGGUGACAGCCCGGAGCUCAACUCCGGAACUGCCUUUGAUACUGGAUUGCUGGAAUACGGAUGCCGUGGGAGGAAUGAGUAGUGUAGCGGUGAAAUGCAUAGAUAUUACUCAGAACACCGAUUGCGAAGGCAUCUCACGAAUCCGUCAUUGACGCUGAGGCACGAAAGCGUGGGGAUCAAACAGGAUUAGAUACCCUGGUA